rnacentral:tmRNA from 1 species
GGGGCUGAUUUUGGAAUAGACAGCAAGAGUCCUGAUAAAGGGAAGCAUAUCGUGUUACGUAAGGCGUUACACGUAAAUACCGCGUUACAAAUAUAAAUGGCGAAAAACAAUACGCUUUUGCUGCUUAAUGAAAUCAUAUCAUUAUAGCUUAAUCUGUAAGAAACAGAAGCAAAAUAUCUCUCAGAAAUCCUCCUUAUAGUUUCUGAUAUAGAGAUACUCAAAAUAUAAGGAUAAGAAAGCGGAUGAUUCUCAAGUUUUCCAAUUAAAUUUUGAAUCUAGGAUUAGAUGAGGAAUCCAAAGAACGAUUCUAAUCUAAAAAAAAUAGACUUUGGAUAAAUAUGUAGAACCCCUUUUUCGUACUUGUUUGGACGCGGGUUCGAAUCCCGCCAGCUCCACCA